rnacentral:tRNA from 1 species
GUUUAGGUAGCUUACAAAAAGUAUAGCACUGAAAAUGCUAAGACGGACCAUAAAAAGUCCCCUAAACA